AUCUAACUGACGAGUCACAAAUAGGACGAAACGCGCGUCGAACUAGAU
rnacentral:hammerhead_ribozyme from 1 species